rnacentral:rRNA from 1 species
ACGGGAGGCAGCAGUGGGGAAUAUUGCACAAUGGGGGAAACCCUGAUGCAGCGACGCCGCGUGAGUGAAGAAGUAUUUCGGUAUGUAAAGCUCUAUCAGCAGGGAAGAAAAUGACGGUACCUGACUAAGAAGCCCCGGCUAACUACGUGCCAGCAGCCGCGGUAAUACGUAGGGGGCAAGCGUUAUCCGGAUUUACUGGGUGUAAAGGGAGCGUAGACGGCAUGACAAGUCUGAAGUGAAAUCCCCGGGCUCAACCCGGGAACUGCUUUGGAAACUGCCAAGCUAGAGUGCAGGAGGGGCAAGCGGAAUUCCUAGUGUAGCGGUGAAAUGCGUAGAUAUUAGGAGGAACACCGGUGGCGAAGGCGGCUUGCUGGGCUGUAACUGACGUUGAGGCUCGAAAGCGUGGGGAGCAAACAGGAUUAGAUACCCUGGUA